rnacentral:rRNA from 1 species
GAUGAACGCUGGCGGCGUGCCUAAUACAUGCAAGUCGAGCGAAUGGAUUAAGAGCUUGCUCUUAUGAAGUUAGCGGCGGACGGGUGAGUAACACGUGGGUAACCUGCCCAUAAGACUGGGAUAACUCCGGGAAACCGGGGCUAAUACCGGAUAAUAUUUUGAACUGCAUGGUUCAAAAUUGAAAGGCGGCUUCGGCUGUCACUUAUGGAUGGACCCGCGUCGCACUAGCUAGUUGGUGAGGUAACGGCUCACCAAGGCAACGAUGCGUAGCCGACCUGAGGGGGUGAUCGGCCACACUGGGACGGAGACACGGCCCAGACUCCUACGGGAGGCAGCAGUAGGGAAUCUUCCGCAAUGGACGAAAGUCUGACGGAGCAACGCCGCGUGAGUGAUGAAGGCUCUCGGGUCGUAAAACUCUGUUGUUAGGGGAGAACAAGUGCUAGUUGAAUAAGCUGGCACCUUGACGGUACCUAACCAGAAAGCCACGGCUAACUACGUGCCAGCCGCCGCCGUAA